UGAAUCUUGAGAUGUUGGGAUGUGCUUGGCUGCUAUGUUUUUGGACAUUUGGCAAACCAUCAGCUUGGCUAAUAUGCUUAAAGAUUAACUGUAAGUAAACUAACAUCUUAUGUAUAUGUUUUGAUGCAGGACAAUUUUUACAAAGUUGGGCCAAGAUUUCCAACUUAAACCUGACCUACAACCCAUUAAUGAUAGUGUUUGCCUAGCUCCAUAUUUCAAGUUGAAUAACAUAAAUUUCUUGCUAAAUAUUUUCUAUUUGCUCUGUUUUGUAGGGAUUUCCAGAAUAAUUUACUUUUAAAUAUUUCAGGCACUCUUGAUCCUCAUGCAAACGUCACCAUCAUAAUUUAACUAUCCAUGAAUGGAAAGUUAGGAAUAUUGUGCAAAAUGGAAGCAGCAUCGUUGUGAAUGCUGGAGGGUUAAACACAGAGAGUGAUAAUGGGGUGGUUGGUAAAAGUGUAGCUACUGGUGGAAGUGGGAGUGGUGUGGAUCAAAACCGGUUUGCACAAAGAGAGGCCGCCCUGACCAAAUUCCGGCAGAAGAGAAAGGAAAGAUGUUUUGAAAAGAAGGCCCAUGGAGGAGCAACGACAGCGCUAUGGGCCAUCUCUGUACAACCUUACCAAUAUGGUGCUUUCAAUUCGGUUGUUUCUUCUUCUUUCCUGGAGGCAUUUCGAGGUUCCAUGAAUUGGCAAAGUUUGAUGAGAAAAAGUGAAGCUACCGCAAGCCUUUAUCUGAUCACAAUGCACAAUGUUGCAAGCCGAUUGA